AUCCUUUUCCAAUUCAUAAACAUUAUGAUUGGGUUCUCACAUACCUGCAGGACAUGUGCCUCCCUCAAACUUUGUUACAAUGUGGGGACAUUACUCAUCUGCUG